CAUGCUGGGAGGGAGUGAAAAAAGCAGUGGUCGUUGCCGGCCCGGAAGGUGUGUGCUGGCAGCUGGCUGCUGACGGGGACGGUCUCAGCCGAGACCAGUCCCUGCUGAGACAGAAAGCAGUGUCUGCCUCUGCCGGAAAGCGCGUAGCCAGGGGCAGCGGUCGGGACUGGAGCGGGGUCCGCGCCGCAGGGACUGGUGCCAGAUGUUGCCAGCAUCCACCAUCAGUCCUGGACCUGCCCAGCUUCUGUCACACAGACCUGGACCCUACUGCUUCUUUCAGCUCUCAUCAGGACACAGUCAGCUCCCAUCACCCAGCUCUGGAGACGGCAAGAACCCAGGCCACAGCCCUUGGCUCCUAGGUGCUCCAAAUGUCCCAGCAUCACAAGCAUGAAGUGUUCUGAAUCAUGCCUCAGUCUUCAUGGGCAGAAUGAUGCCACACUCCACAGUCCAUGGAAUAGCAUCUCUGGCACCACACCACAUACACUGGGGGAGAAACCUCAGACACACCCAAUACUCAAUCUGGGGACACCCCCAGUCCAGCACUCCUGCCACCCACUGAGUUCCGUACCUUACCCUGGGACCCCCACCAAUGCCCAUUUUGGGAUGCCCCCCCCCAUACUCUUUGCUACCUGGUCCUUCUGAACUUUAAUCCUUCCCCAUAGCAUCUAAAGAGAUUUUUGGUGACAGCUGCUGAGGGGUGGCAGUGGGGGGACACCCACCACCUGGCCUGGUGGCUGAGCUCCCAUCAGUUGAUGAUGGACUGCUAUGGAGUCACACUCCUGAAAAUGAAGGUAAAAAGGGGAAUGGCCUUGAUGGGGUCAGAGACAUGGGGGACAUGGUGAUGCCACCGAGCCUGAAGGUGAUUGCUAGCUCCCCCAUGUGUCCCCUUGCUCUCAUAUGGUUUCUCUGGUUCCCUGUGUCCCCGCAAACUUAGCUGGCAUCCCACAUUUCUUAAAGCUCACCUUCAACCCCAUACACUUUCAAGCCUCUUAUAGCCACUGUCAGCCCCGUAGGGUCCCCCUUGUCCCACAUCAGAUCUCCCCCCAGCCUGUUGCAAGCCCUGAUGCCAUCCAUCUGCACAUGGCACCUGUGACAUGCAGAAUCACAAAAUACUCUGAUUUGGAAGGACUUUAUGGAGGAUUGAGCUCUAUGGUGUGUCAGUACCUUAACUGAGGAAGCUUACAGUAGUACACUAGUAAGAUUGGGGAUGAAAGGAUCUCUUAGUGCUUUUCCUUACCAGCUGCUGAGUCUGUUUUCUCUCUCUAUUGGCUUCUCUCAGAUGAUGAGAGGAGUCCUUCCUGCUUGCCCUGCUACCUGCCCUGCCUGGGUGAACCACUGUAUCAACUGGCAUGCUGUGCCCUCACUGCCCUUUCAUGACAUGCCUUGGGUUAUGCACUCCUGUUCACCUGACUCCAGGACACUUGGACUUCCUAAAGCUGUUUAAAUUUCCCUCGGAGGCUCCUUGCACCAGCCUCUCCUCAUCUGGUGCCUGCUGAAGGCUGCCAAGUCCUGUCCACAGUUUGCAGCUGCCAUGUGACAAGUCCAUGAGCCAGAAUGAGACCUGCAUCAGUAUUCUGUUCUGCUAGAAACCAGAUUCCUGCAACCUGGCAACAGUUCCUAUGGGUACGGGCCACCCAGCUGCACCACAGCCUGGGCUGAGGGACUCUGCAGCAGUCCAGGAACUUCCCAGUCCUUGGGAAGGAGGGGCAUGGAAAGGAACCAAAAUCUGCAGGGGUUGGGAGGAAAAAUUCAGAUACUCCUGCUCUGCUCUGCCUGGAGAUAUGUGAAGACCGGUAUGAACAGGAUUAUGCUGGUUUGAAAGCAAACCAGUGGGGGAUCCUAAAUCAGAAAUACAGUAUAAUAGGAAAAGUUAAAUGAAAUGCAGUAGUACAAGCCACUGAUUCCCCUUCUGUUUGAACUAUGAACACUGCCUUGAUAGCUUUGUUAACUUUUUGUCUGAUAUACCAAUAUCAGAUAAGGUACAAAUAUUAUUAUUAUG